UUGGUGAUUGUAGACUGGUGUGUCAGGAGAAGGACCACUGGCGUCAAGUAGCCACUAGAUGGAGGUAUUGGACCGCGUAGCAGGACGCGGCGUGACAUAUUACCCGAUAAGGAUCAAAUCCUGCAGUGUUGUGUGGAUUAGUGACAAGUCAAUAAGAAGCUUUUCUCCAUGGUGCCUCUUCCGAAUCAUUAUCUGAGGACAACAGAAGUGAUUCACGAGGUGUUCCUGGAUGGGAGGCAGUUGAUUGCUUGGUGGAGAACCUGAAUGAGAGCAGAGGACCCCUCCAGGGCCAUGGAGAGCUUCAAGGAAACAAAUCGACUCUCACCUGGUCAACAAGCAGCUAAGAGGAGACCCUCGCCCCUCCUCCCCCGCAUCAUCAGGCUAUUGUCAUGGAAACAGCAGCAUGCGAAAGCGGAGACUUCGGAUGGGCACGCACAAGGCUGGUUGAGUUCAUAUAUAUAUACACUCAUCUCGGUCCGCACAGUUAAAUGUCCUGUGUUCAGAUUCCAUGCGUCUUCAGUAGUUUAGUAUAAGAACAAGGUUUACUCCUUUAGGAUGAUCAUUUAGAGACACCGACAUAACUUAUGUGAACUAUUAGUUUGAGAAUUCAGACUGCUUACUGGGCGCCACUGAAUACGUUUUCCACUAUGGAGUUCCCCAUCGACAGCCUGUUUCAUCAAGCGAUGAAGAUGACUCUCCUGAUGGGAUUAAUGGCGGUGAACACCAGAGCCAUCGAGACGGGUAAGAGGAUGCGACUUUAGAUCAGCACGUCUAACUAGUUUCAUUGCCGGCAUUCCACUUCACUUCAAUCACGUUAACAUACUUUAUUACCAGGUUUCUGGUUACUGUAAUAGCCUACUCUAAUAAUAACCUUUCUCUUCUCCUUCCUCCCUCCCCUCCUCUUCAGCGUUUAAGAUCUUAGAUUGGGUCCAAACUUUCCAUUAUGUGAUUAAUUACAACCGGCUGGCGAUACUCUUGGCUCCUUGCCUACUCUGGACUUCUUAUAACAGAUCAUUAUACAACCAAAUAUUCGAUUUAAACAAAAUAUUUGA